rnacentral:rRNA from 1 species
UACGUAGGGUGCGAGCGUUGUCCGGAAUCAUUGGGCGUAAAGGGCGCGUAGGUGGCGGGACAAGCGUGCGGUGAAAGCCCGGGGCUCAACUCCGGGUCGGCCGUGCGAACUGGGGGACUGGAGCUUGUCAGAGGCAGGCGGAAUUCCGGGUGUAGCGGUGGAAUGCGUAGAGAUCCGGAAGAACACCGGUGGCGAAGGCGGCCUGCUGGGACAGUGCUGACGCUGAGGCGCGACAGCGUGGGGAGCAAACAGG